rnacentral:rRNA from 1 species
AUUGAACGCUGGCGGCAGGCCUAACACAUGCAAGUCGAACGAGUGGCGGACGGGUGAGUAAUGUCUGGGAAACUCCCUGAUGGAGGGGGAUAACUACUGGAAACGGUAGCUACUACCGCAUACCAUCAGAUGUGCCCAGAUGGGAUUAGCUAGUUGGUGGGGUAACGGCUCACCAAGGCGACGAUCCCUAGCUGGUCUGAGCGGAUGACCAGCCACACUGGAAAUGAGACACGGGCCAGACUCCUACGGGAGGCAGCAGUGGGUAAGAUUGCACAAUGGGCGCAAGCCUGAUGCAGCCAUGCCGCGUGUAUGAAGAGGGCCGUCGGGUUGUAAAGUACUUUCAGCGGGGAGGCGUUACCCGCAGAAGAAGCACCGGCUAACUCCGUGCCAGCAGCCGCGGUAAUUC